rnacentral:rRNA from 1 species
CCAACUUCACGCGUUAGUACGUUACCAAGUCAAUKAAGACCCGACAACUAGUUGACAUCGUUUAGGGCGUGGACUACCAGGGUAUCUAAUCCUGUUUGCUCCCCACGCUUUCGUGCAUGAGCGUCAGUAUUGGCCCAGGGGGCUGCCUUCGCCAUCGGUAUUCCUCCACAUCUCUACGSAUUUCACUGCUACACGUGGAAUUCUACCCCCCUCUGCCAUACUCUAGCCCGCCAGUCACAAAUGCAGUUCCCAGGUUAAGCCCGGGGAUUUCACAUCUGUCUUAGCGGACCGCCUGCGCACGCUUUACGCCCAGUAAUUCCGAUUAACGCUUGCACCCUACGUAUUACCGCGGCUGCUGGCACGUAGUUAGCCGGUGCUUAUUCUUCCGGUACCSUCAUCCGCCACGGGUAUUAACCACGACGUUUUCUUUCCGGACAAAAGUGCUUUACAACCCGAAGGCCUUCUUCACACACGCGGCAUUGCUGGAUCAGGCUUGCGCCCAUUGUCCAAAAUUCCCCACUGCUGCCUCCCGUAGGAGGUCUGGGCCGUGUCUCAGUCCCAGUGUGGCUGGUCGUCCUCUCAGACCAGCUACAGAUCGUCGCCUUGGUAGGCCUUUACCCCACCAACUAGCUAAUCUGCCAUCGGCGCCCCUGUAGCGAGAGGUCUAAGAUCCCCCCUUUCCUCCGUAGAGCGUAUSGGUAUUAAUCCGCU